UCCUGAGCUGGCUCCUCACCCCCAA
rnacentral:misc_RNA from 1 species